CAGGGCUCGAACUCAUGAACCAUUAGGUCAUGACCUGAGCUGAAGUACAGUGCUCAACCGACUGAGCCACACAGGUGCCCCUCUCUGCAUCUAUUUUGUUCUUCUUUCUCACUGCAGAGCAUCUUUUAUUGCUUUCCAGACCAUGUGGUAGAAAAAGACCACCUAUUGCUUCUGGGUCUAAAUAUUACAAGUCCAAGCAUUCAAGGAAGGGACUACUCCCUUUCCUUCAGAAUUAAUUCCAAAUUCCUUGGGGCAAGACUGUCUUAGACCGGAUGCAUAGGGGUCAGGUUCACGAGCUACAGGAAGCUAUGACUAAAACCAAAUAGAUGGGGAAGGGCUCCCCACCAAGGAGCUGCUAGAUAGACAUGUGAAUAGGUGUCCACAACAGAUGCGCUAACAGACUUCAGUCCUGGAUAGGAAGUGAACAUGAUGAACUUCUAAUGAUGAUUCUGUGGUCUUUUUUUUUUUUUUUUAAGAAUUACUUUUUUUUUUAAGUUUACUUAUUUUGAGAGAGUGAGAGUAUGCAAACAGGGGAAGGGCAGAGAGAGAGGCAGACAGAGAAUCUCAAGCAGGCUCUGCACAGUCAGCGCAGAGUGCAACUCAGGGUUGGAUCUCACAAAUUAUGAGAUCGUGACCUGAGCCAAAAUCAAGAGUUGGAUACUUAACCAACUGAGCCACCCAGGUUCCCCAUGAUUCUGUGAACUUACUAACUCUGUGCUUUUCUUGCCACUUGGAUAGAUUGCUUGCCCCUCUUCUGCCAAAUCCCAUUACUUUCUUCAAGAUUUGAUUCAAAACUGACCUCUUAAAUGAAUGAGCUUUCCCUGUCUAUUCCUAUUGUAGGAAUGCCCUCAGCACCUUUGUAUACAAUGUUAAUCUUAUUAUUAGGAACCUAUUCAUACAUAGUUGUACAUAAUAUUUUCUAAUCUCACCAGUGGGUGUUAUCCCAAUAGUUUAGACAGCUAUAGAAGGAUGGAGACCUUGGUUUUUUUUCCCUCCUUUGCAACCACCAAGCUCCCUGUAGACAGUAAAGAAAAAAAAGGAGGAAGGGGAGAAGAAGACGGAAGAAGAAAGGAGGAGGAGGAAGAAGAAGCAAGGAGAAGGUGGGAGGAGGAGAAUGAGAGAGAGAGAGGAGGAGGAGGAAGAAGAAUGGAAGGAGGAGGUAGGAGGGGAAGGGGGAGGAGGAGGAGGACCACAGGAGCUACAGUUUCUUUCUCCUGUGUUCUGUGAACAGAUUUCCUGUUUGCCGUGAGGUUUCCCAUUCCCAGGAGGACAUGUGAAAUUGGUGAGUCAGAAAAGCACAGAACUCUAUAAUUUGGGUCCCCUGGUCCAUAAGCAAGCUCACUUAUGACUGUUUUCUUGUCACCGUCCUGUUUACCUCUUGAGAUUCUCCCCUCCUUGUGACAUCAAACUGCCUGUCUAAUUAUUCCCCAUGACAGAUUUGAGUCACAAUAAGGCUCAUGUCCAGGCACUGCAGUGUGUAAUACCAACAUAAGCCCUGUCCUGUCCUAUUCUUUCUUUAUUCAAAGAAACAUUUACUGAGCCAGGAACUGUCAUAGGAGCCUAGGAUCCAUGAACAAAACAGACCCAAGCUCUACAAUGAUUCUGCUUAUAUUUUGCCUGCUUGAUGUAUCAGUUUCUGAGCUGGUAUGAACUCUAGAUUGGUGGCAAAGAGAAAAUCAUUGAGUUAGAAGAUAAUACAUGAUGCAACAAAGAGAAACAAAGAAAGAAAAAUAUGAAAGAGCAGUUAAAAGACAUAGAGGAUGAAUCGAGAGGAGUGAGCGUGAAGUCCGUAACAGCAAAAUGGAGGGGUUGAUAGGAAAGAACUAUCUGAAGAGACAGUGACUUAUAUGAGGACUGGAGAUGAGUUUGCAAGAGAAGUUGUAACUGAGAUGUGUGCAUAAAGACGGAAUUUUAAAGAUCUUUAUCCUCUUCAAGGAAUAGCUGGCUGAGCUCACAGGGAGAUGAGCCAGUUUUAGCUUGAGUAACCUGUUUUAGCUUGAGCUCUAGGUUAGGAAAAAAGUCUUUCUGAGAAUUCAUAACCGUGGCUCUGCCCUCACACAGGUUGGCGCCUGAAUUUAUACUGUCAUGACCCAAGAACCCAGGAGUCAAGAAAUUAUUAUAAAAAGUUGUUCCUGGCUAGUAAUACCCUGCAGCAUGUAGCAGAAGCAAACACAAAAAUCCUCCCUAGAGUGACACACCCUUAACCAGGUUGCACAGGAUUCCUACACCUGAAGCUUCACAGAAGAUGAACUCAUGAAUAACAUGAGUAACAACAUGAAUAACAACCCACCAUGAACAAACAUUUACAAAAAUCAGGAUUAGACCCCCAAUUAUUUCAUGUGAUUAAAAUGAUUAAAGAAAAAAAAAGAAUUAAAAACAAGAGGAAAAAAAUCAGAAAAAAUCAAGCAGAUGUCAAAAAGAUCCAAGUGUCACUUUUAGAAAUAAAAAAUAUAGGCACAGAUUGGCUUAAUAGAAACUAUACCAAUCUGAAGAAAAAGUGACUUGGCAGACAUAUCUGAGGUAAUUACAAAGAUUUCAGUACAGAUCAAUAAAAACAUUAACAAUAUGAAAUUAAGAGAUAUGGAGGCAAUCCUGUCAUGCAGAGUAAGUCCCAAUAAUUUAUGCAGACAUCUCCCCACUCAAGGAGAUGGAGCGUAACUCCCCAACCCUUUUGUGUGAGAUGUGCUUAGUGAUUUCCUUCCAAACCGUGAAGUAGGGAAAUGGAGGGAAAAAAGUAACUUCACAGUGGAGCAACUUGACCUCACCCUAAUUAAUAUGAACAUCAAGAGGGAUUAAGUCCUUUUGACAACAUGUAGCCUUGACGUGAUGUGAUGAGAAUGGUACUUCAUACAUCUGUGAUCUUCUUCCCGGUCUAAUCAUGAGAAAAACAAGAGACAAUCCCCGAUUGAGGAAAACUAUACAAAAUACUGAAGCAAUAUUCCUAAAAACUGUGAAAGUCAUUAAAACAAGGAAUCAAAAUAGUGUUUUAGGAGCUACUCAACAUAACCUAAC